AAAAUAAUAUAAGGCCUUCACCAUAACAGUUCUGUGAUAAGGAACGUGCAGCAUUGGCUUGAAGAAUGGACUGGAACAUCCUGAAGGCAGAAGGCAUGCAGGCUUUCAGAUAGCACUGAGAUCAGGUCCUUGACCUUCAUGCUGGGAGCAGAAGACCACCUCAGAGCUGAGAUCAUCUUGCAAAGAGGUGACUGGGAAGCGGACAGCCUUGAAGUGAAAAUGGCUUUCCAUAAAGGAAGCUGACAACACCUUAACUUGAUCCACCUUCCCAUGAUUAGGCGCAGCAAAGUUCACCAGUAAAGCCAUUUC
rnacentral:lncRNA from 1 species